rnacentral:rRNA from 1 species
AUUGAACGCUGGCGGCAGGCCUAACACAUGCAAGUCGAGCGGAUGAAGGGAGCUUGCUCCUGGAUUCAGCGGCGGACGGGUGAGUAAUGCCUAGGAAUCUGCCUGGUAGUGGGGGAUAACGUCCGGAAACGGGCGCUAAUACCGCAUACGUCCUGAGGGAGAAGGUGGGGGAUCUUCGGACCUCACGCUAUCAGAUGAGCCUAGGUCGGAUUAGCUAGUUGGUGGGGUAAAGGCCUACCAAGGCGACGAUCCGUAACUGGUCUGAGAGGAUGAUCAGUCACACUGGAACUGAGACACGGUCCAGACUCCUACGGGAGGCAGCAGUGGGGAAUAUUGGACAAUGGGCGAAAGCCUGAUCCAGCCAUGCCGCGUGUGUGAAGAAGGUCUUCGGGUUGUAAAGCACUUUAGGUUGGGAGGAAGGGCAGUAAGUUAAUACCUUGCUGUUUUGACGUUACCAACAGAAUAAGCACCGGCUAACUUCGUG